UCAUGGAACAGUCAUAGACUGUGAACCAGCACUAUUUGUGAACCAUGCUUUGGUAGUGCUGCUCUAAACGGUGUGCAUAUUAUCACAUGUUUAAUCUUUAAACUACUUUAUUAGAUAGGAUUUUUUAUUUUCUCCAUUCUAUAAACAAGGAAAAUGAGGCAUGAAGCAUAAAUGGUAGGCAGAAUAUGGACCCAAAAUUCAGAGAUUACCCUCCUACCUAUUGCACUAUAUUGAAGAAAUAAAAAUGUUUGAUAUGUUUCUAGUACCAAUUGGCAAUAUUAAAGACAUAUACUAGUCCCAUUGGUGGCCUAUGGAGGAAUGGUGAACUCUGUUAACAAGAAGCCAGGAGCAGCUUCCGAAAGGAGGAGAUGCUUGGGCUGGAUCCUCAAGAACGAGCUCAGGGGUCACAACGUCUCUUUGGAAUUUCAGAUUCUUGAGUUGUAAGAUAUUGGGCUAGCCAAUCUCUGAGGUUUUUUCCAACCACAAUAUUUUGUAAUUUGAUAGAGUCCAAAAGAUGCUUCUAAACUGAUGCCCUCCCACUCAUUGGCACCUCUUACCCCAAUCUUUAGCAUCACUUUCUCCCAAACAAACAUAAUCAAAACUAGUAUAGAAGAAAAAGGAGAUAUGGUAUAUAAGUCUUCUCUACAGCUUUGCAAGAAGGAGUCUGUGACUCUAGGUGCUUCCUAUUUGAACAGAGAAAGAGGAAAACCCUCUUUUUCUCUCCAGGCUCCUGCAUUGAGGAGGUCUCCAAUGGCAGAUAUUUUGCCAGUAAGGAAGGAAAGGCUUCUGUGUAAGCCUGCUCAAAUUGUGGGCAGGGUCACCAAAGAGUGACCACGUAGGGCAGGAACACAUGAAAACAUUUCUAAGAAAACAGGAUUUCUCCCUUCUCAAUUGAGACCAUGUUUUGUUUUGUUUAGGAAACAUAGAAACUGAGAAUGAACAAACUGUAUUUGGGUCAUCUAACCUUUCCUCCUGAGAGUGAAUGAGUUGCUACAGCAUAUGCAUUCAUUUUUUUUUUUUUUCCCUAUUUCACAUGGAGACUCCAGUGGGGGUUUUCACCACACUCUCUGGACAAUCGCUCUGUGCUCUAAGUCAAUAUUGCGUGAGAAUUGCUAUGACAUUGAAAGGAACAGGAGAAAGAACCUCCAACAAAAACAUUUGCUGAGGGGGCUGAUUUGAAAUGUAACUCUGAACAUAGAUGCUAAAAUGGAAUAAGCAGAAGGAGAACUAUAUUUAUUUUCUCUAUGCUGAAAAAAGUAUUUCACCAUUUUGAUUAAGCCAAGUUAAAAAGCCAAUCAUGCUUCUGUUUCCUAACUGCAAGUACUGUAUCUUGUGUUUGUCAAAGACUGUGAGCUUACUGAAUUGUAUAAAACAGCAUGAUGGAUGUUCUUCCUUCUCCAGAGUCUGGAGAAGGGAUUCCAAAUGGAGGAUUUAGCAGCACAUGGGAGACACUUAAAAGAAGACGCCAGGAAAAAAAAAAAAAAAUGAGUUAAAUUAUAGCAAACAGGCUGCCCAGGAAAAAAUGGGCCUUCCUUCCUUAUGGUUUGGUUUGUGGAUUCCCUGGAUUGACUAACGUUAAAGACAUAGGGUGAUUAUCCUUUCACAAAUAGCAGAACCUCCACUCGUUCCCUCUGUGUGCGGGUGUUUUGGAUUUUCGGGGAACUUGGAAGAUCAGGCGGUUAUCUGGUAGUCAGCUGAUAUUAAAGUACUUUUGCAGUUGGAAUUCUAUAAUUAUGCAUUGUAUAUACAUUUUUCAAUAUUAUUUGAAAAAUAAAAUUUAUUUUUAUUAAACAAAAUAUGUAUUAAAAAUAAAUCAUAUUUAAUAUUAGUACAUAAAAUGUAUGUGCAUGAUGGAAUAUUGGAAAAAUACAUUAAGUGGACAUCAGGGAAAAUAAAGUCACUUGUAUUAUCAUUAAUCCGAGACAAGCACAUAAUGCUUUUUGUAUGUUUAUUUUUAUUUCUUUUUUAAAGUAUAAACAUUUGUCCUGUUCUCUUGCUCUGUUACUUUUACAUACAUAUAAUUUUGUAACUUUUUUCAUAUAUUAAAUAUUACACUUUUAUUAUUACAUAAUGUGUAAAACCAUUUUAAUGGCUGUAUAAAUUAGUUCAGAAGAUGUGUUGUCCAUCUUUUAUUUAUCCAUCUUUCUAAUCACUGUACAUUUAUUUUGUACAUCAUUUGUAUGUUGUAAUACUCUGAUGAGCAUUUUGGGUAUAAACAAAAACACCUUGAGCCCUGAAUAUGUGCCAGGUCCAGAGCUUGGCCCUUGGGAAUCAAUACUGAAUAAAUCAUGGUCCAGCCUUAAAAUUCACUGGAAAAGAUUGACAGAUGAGUAAACACUUAAAAGAAAUAAUUGAGUUGUACUUCUCUGUGUAAUUUGGUAAGAGCUUUAAUCUGAUGUUCAAAAGUUGCUUUAGAAGCAUAAAGAAUGAACAUCUACUUCCAGCGGGGGCUUGAGAUGACUACCUGAAUCUGGUCAUACUUAAAGUCAGUCAUAAAAAAGAAGGAAAUAAUGCCAUUUGCAGCAACAUGGAUGGACCUAAGG